UAACGGCCACACCGUGCCAAUAAUCGGUACGGGUCAUGAGAGUGAGAACCCGGAGACGGAAUCUGAGACAAGAUUUCCGGGCCCUACGGGGCGCAGCAGGCGCGAAACCUUUACACUGCACGCCAGUGCGAUAAGGGAAUCCCAAGUGCGCAGGCAUAGAGCCUGCGCUUUUGUCCACCGUAGGGAGGUGGACGAAUAAGGGCUGGGCAAGACCGGUGCCAGCCGCCGCGGUAAUACCGGCAGCCCGAGUGAUGGCCGAUCUUAUUGGGCCUAAAGCGUCCGUAGCUGGCCGCACAAGUCCAUCGGAAAAUCCACCCGCUCAACGGGUGGGCGUCCGGUGGAAACUGUGUGGCUUGGGACCGGAAGGCGCGACGGGUACGUCCGGGGUAGGAGUGAAAUCCCGUAAUCCUGGACGGACCGCCGAUGGCGAAAGCACGUCGCGAGGACGGAUCCGACAGUGAGGGACGAAAGCCAGGGUCUCGAACCGGAUUAGAUACCCGGGUAGUCCUGGCCGUAAACAAUGUCUGUUAGGUGUGGCUCCCACUACGAGUGGGUGCUGUGCCGUAGGGAAGCCGCUAAACAGACCGCCUGGGAAGUACGUCCGCAAGGAUGAAACUUAAAGGAAUUGGCGGGGGAGCACUACAACCGGAGGAGCCUGCGGUUUAAUUGGACUCAACGCCGGACAUCUCACCAGCAUCGACUGUAAUAAUGACGAUCAGGUUGAUGACCUUAUCCGAGUUUCAGAGAGGAGGUGCAUGGCCGCCGUCAGCUCGUACCGUGAGGCGUCCUGUUAAGUCAGGCAACGAGCGAGACCCGCAUCCUUACUUGCCAGCAGCACUGCGAAGUGGCUGGGGACAGUAGGGAGACCGCCGUGGCCAACACGGAGGAAGGAACGGGCAACGGUAGGUCAGUAUGCCCCGAAUGUGCUGGGCAACACGCGGGCUACAAUGGUCGAGACAAAGGGUUCCUACUCCGAAAGGAGACGGUAAUCUCAGAAACUCGAUCGUAGUUCGGAUUGUGGGCUGCAACUCGCCCACAUGAAGCUGGAUUCGGUAGUAAUCGCGUGUCAUAAGCGCGCGGUGAAUACGUCCCUGCUCCUUGCACACACCGCCCGUCAAAGCACCCGAGUGAGGUCCGGAUGAGGCGCGU
rnacentral:rRNA from 1 species